UACGUAGGUGGCAAGCGUUGUCCGGAAUUAUUGGGCGUAAAGCGCGCGCAGGCGGUCCCUUAAGUCUGAUGUGAAAGCCCACGGCUCAACCGUGGAGGGUCAUUGGAAACUGGGGGACUUGAGUACAGAAGAGGAAAGCGGAAUUCCACGUGUAGCGGUGAAAUGCGUAGAGAUGUGGAGGAACACCAGUGGCGAAGGCGGCUUCUGGUCUGUAACUGACGCUGAGGCGCGAAAGCGUGGGGGAGCAAACAGG
rnacentral:rRNA from 1 species